rnacentral:lncRNA from 1 species
GAUUCCAUCACAUCCCAAAGACUUCACUUCUGAACACUGCUGUACUGUGGGCCAAAUCUUCAACACAUAAGCAUCUGGGGACCACUGUGGAUCAAAGCAAAAUAAUACCAGAUAGGAGAACAAUAAGAAGAUGGGAGAAUAAAGAUUCUGGAUAUCAGCUGAGGAGCUGAGCUGAAUGGGAAACCAAGGACGAGCUGAGGAGCUGAGCUGCAUGGUUGCCAGCAGCACCACCUCUCCUCCUCCCAUCCCAUCCCUCCUACCUCUAACCGCUGGAGUGAACAACAGAAAGAGGGCCCUUCUGAGGCUCCUCAAUGAAAAAUUGAAUCCCCCUGGAAAAGUGAAGAAAAUGUUUGCAAUAAAGACAUACCAGUCCACCAUAGUUGGUAUACUGAAAACAAGAUUGCCUAAGUCAUGAGAGACUCAAAACCUAAAGACAAGCUAUAUCUGGAAGACACCUUUGAGAAGCAUUCAUUCCAUAAGGGUUCUAAAUGCAAGCAAUAAAGAUACUUAGAAUAAGCAAUACUGAAGUAUCAACACAGGAAUAUAACCAAAAACAACACACACACACACGCACACACACAAUAUAUAUGAAAAGACACUUAAGCAAGGCACAAACCCAGAUUUCCAGCUCACCAAAGGCAAAUUCUUGGGGAAAUGAGGU